GCGAAAAAGAACCGUACGACGACCCCUCACACGAAGAAAAAAACUAACGAUCUCUCCCUCCGCCUGGGAACUCGAUCUGGAUCACGGCGGCGGCGGCGGCGGCGACUCCUCUCUCUCUCUCUCUCUCUCUCUCUCUCUCUCUCUCCGCGCACCGAUGCAUCCCCCGGAGCCCUGCCCACCUCCUCCCUUUUCAGCGCCCACAUCGCGACCCCUGUGGCUACUCCACUCUUGAGGCGUCGUGGAGGUUACGGAAACCCGAUGGCGUUGGCUUGCCGGAGAUGAAGAAGACAGCCAGGUGAUGCGGUACUCGGGAGGUGGAAUUGGCAACGGAGGUGGCUCCAUAUGGAUGUCGCGGACCUCCCACUGGAUGGAAUCGAAGUGGGACGAUGUGCUUCGGUCGUCAACGGCGGCUGCGCGGGAUGCAGUAUGGUAUGGAUCGGGCAUCUCGAGGAUGGGCUUUCUUCGCAAGGCUCGUCCACGCCACAGCGGAGGUGUUUGAGGAGUCUGUCCCGGGGUUGCUCGUGAAGCAUGUCGACGUCUCCGUCUUGCCAUUGCUCAAAACACCGCCCUGCCGGCUGGGUCCUUAUUUGCCAUCGAGGCCUUCCGCAACAUGGUCCAUGAUGCCUGAUUGCUUCCUCUUUGGCUGGAUCGGGUCCAACCACACAGUAAGCUAUGCCUCGUCUUCCGUCUUCUUUCUUAAAUUUUCUAUGGUUCUUGGUCUGAUUCUCAAUAAAGAGCUCAAACUCGUCUUGAGUUUUUGGUUAUGGCCUGCACUAUAUUGUUGGUACAGAUUAUUGUACUACUGUCUUGAGUGGCAAAUAUUUACUGAGAUGGGAUAAUAGGUAUACUAUUUUUCUAUUUCAAGACUGAAAUAUGAUUUCUUCCUGCUCUAUGUCAAUUUAAUUUUUUUCUGAAUAAUUUACCAACACAGUGCAGGUUGAUGUGUGUAGCACGUGUUAACAAAAUCUCAAUUAUCUGCAUGGUAUAUAUAUCUCUAAUCAUUGUCUUUUCCAGAAUGAAGAGAAGGUAUGAGAAAGAUAAUACUAAUAUUCCCUAUACAUUUGACUUUUAACUUUUACCAGAUUCUUGGAUUCCUCAAAAUCAUGUCUAUUAGUGUUUCUUCUAUAUAUAUAUAUGCAUGAUCUUUCCUUUUGAAAUUCUCAUUAUGUACAUGAUUUUUGCUACUGCUGGCCUUGAAUUGGCACUGAUUUGGGCCACCUUGUUGAAUGAUUCGUGCACGGAUGUGUUUCGUUGGUCUUUUGCGGCAUGUGGGGAGCGUAAACUGGAAGAACGUGUGCAGCAGGCAUCGCUGCUGCGCUGGACGACGUUGUGCGAGGCCAUGGCCAUGGACGAUGUGCUGUUGGAGAACGACGCAGGGCUAAGGUAGUCGAUGUGAACGACCACUGGGUAUGUAAUGGUUUAGUCCUCCUGAAUUUGCACUCUGUUUUUUAGUCCUCUGUAGUGUUGUUCAAUUUGGGCAGGGCUUACAUUCUCUCAUAGGAUCAGACCAAACAAGGUCUCAUAAGCUUUGCUGUUGUUUUGUUCGAAACAUAAAAACAUCCAUUAUCGAGGAAAGAGUCAUUCUCACAUAGCGAUUUGUUUGCCUCCUUUCAGAAUUCCAAUUGCUUAUGGAUUCGUAUGAUGCAGCCUACAUGUUCCCAUCACCCAGUAAAAUAUAGACAUUAAUUAUUGCAUCUGGGUUUAUAUUAUGCAUCCCCACUGCCAGUUUCAUUGUUAAGUAGGAACGAAGAUUACAUUUAUAAAUGAUAUAUGUAUGUAAUUGUGUGCUGCAUUCUUGCUGCUUCCAGUAGAUGUACUAUCUUUUCAGCGUUGACUUUUAAAGCGUUUUUGCUGACAAGAAGCUUAUCAGUCGUAAUGUUCAGCACCUACAUUACCCGAUGGUCAUGUAGUGCUAGGGAAAUAGAUAUACAAUAUGUUAUAAAGGAUAAGACAAAUAAUUAUUGGGUGUGAAAGAUCAGGAUGGAAGCAUUUUUUUUGCUAUCAUAUGAAUUAUUGAAUACAAUCUCGUAUGCAACCCCUCAAAAUUAGAUUUAAUUCAUGCUCGUACACCAUCACUUAAGUAGGAAAAGAGAAGUAUUUCUAAGGCUACUCUAUAUCUUAUUUUUCUUUCACAGCAUAUAUAUUAUUAGUUAUAUGUUUGCCUGGGUAGGAAAGUAACAAUCAAUCCCUCAAAAUAAAAGGAAACUAAUGAUCAAGACCUUAGCUGGCUGACGGUAACUCCAUUCAUUCUCAUCCAAUUAUUAUUAUUUUAGUUAUUUUUCUAUUCUCAUGGGUAGGUUUCUUCUGUGUUGUUUUGCUUUAGUUUCGUAGUUGUCACUCCCAUGUAUUUCUUCGACGAGGAGGCGUGGACACGAGGCCUAACUAUCCGGUCGGGACUUUGAGUUGCCUGCCAUGGUGGAGCUCGGGAUGUUGGCAGAUCUGACCGGACUGUGCCAUUUGGAGUAACAGUCUACAAUGCCACAACACUUUGUUGGACCUAUUUUUGGCGUUUCUUCUGCCAGCUGAUGAGUCUUUUAGGGAUGCAAAUUGUCUGCCUUCGAAAAAUCAGAAGAAUGAAAGAAUGGGAUUUAUAGCAUAUAUGCUCUAUGUGCAGCUGAUGAAGCUUUGAGAGAUGAAAAUUGGUUGCCUUUGGAAAAUAAGAAGAAGGAAAGAACGGGUGUUUCAAUUGGUGGGGGAAUCGGAAACAUCUCAGACAUUUUAAAUGCAUGACUGCUGAUUGCUGAAAAUGAAAUAUGCAGUUAUGGAUCCAUUCUAUAGUUGGAAUAUGAGACUCCAUAUGUGUGUGUAUGUUUAUUCUUGCUUGAAUCUGGUGCUGAAGGUGUGAACAGGUGCUUUGACAUUAGCAAGUCUUUUGCUUUAUCCGAAUACGCUUGGUGAUGGCGCCGUGUUCAGUGGUACACAACGAGAUGUGAUGAAGCUUAAAUUUAUUGGUUGGUAUCAAUUGAACGACUUGUCAACAAGAGAUGUGGCUAAAGACUUGCCAUUUUCAUUGAUUAAGAAGAAGAAAUUGCCCGGUUAAUUGGCGGAAAACCGGGCUAAAAACGAUACAAGAUCUCUGCGGUCAUAAUGGUUACUCCUAUGAUCCUAUCUAAUAUAGGCACUCAAAUUUUAGUGUAGUGUCUCUGUAUUUGAGGCAUGGUUCACAUGAGCAAUUAUAUGAAGUUUUGGUUCAGAGAGAAGAAACAUGGUUUUCUUCAAAAAAAAGAGGGUCGUGGAUUAUGGAGUCCACAUGAUCUUAUAGAUGGACGAUGCUGGGCAAUUUCUUUAGAUCUUCUUGAUUUGUGGGAUACUUGAUCUUGCAACUCUGACUUGACUAAUAGACUAGAAAAUAUCUUAUUAACGAGGAGAGACAGGCAGCAGCGCAACAAGGAUUAGGGAAAGUAGCAGCAGCAGCAUGACUCUGCAUAGAAACAGUUUCGAAAAAGCUCGAACAACAAUGAGCUUGUUUUAUUUGCUGAUAAGGCUACAUAAUGUGAUUUCUCUAUCACUGAGCAUAAAAUCUUGUUUUGCAGUACACUAGAAACUCAAGAUGUCACAGCAAUGGUUGCAUAGAUUAGGACACUAUAAUGAAUAGUGUGAUUUUGAGUAUUGUAUAUAUCAUAUGUUAUUUAGUGACUUAGUUAUGCUUGAAGAGAGUAAUGGAGCCGAGUCUCUGUAUACUUUGUAUACACAAGUACAUUUGCUUGCUGGUAGAGAAUUUCAUGUAUGACAUGUAUGAUUAAUGCUACAAGAUGCAAUAAUGUAAUUAUGUUCUUGAAUUAUUAUUAUUAUUCUGAAUGUUUGGAACUACUGAUUUUUA